rnacentral:lncRNA from 1 species
AUACGCUGAAUUAACGACAGCCGUGUGCAAUGUGACCGCGUCUCGCAAACAUCACGCUGGUCAAAACCAACAUAAAGAACGAAAGCCAGACGUAAAGAACACACACCGGAUGGAUGCACUUCUAAAAAAUUUCAACAACAGGGAAAAAUCAAACAACAGUGUCCAUGGAUGUAUAUUUAAGUAGUAAAAUUUUAAAGAAAAGCAAAGAAGUGAAUGAGCAUAAAAGGAGGCCCAGCGAUCACCUUUGAAAAGGGGAACCGCAGCCCAGAAGGGAUGCGCGCGAGGGCUCCGGGGGGCGCGCAGCUGGUGAUCUCCUGAACUGAGAAGGCGUUUACUUCAUACGAGACAAAAAUUAAGCUGUACCUUAUGUUUCAUAUACUUUUCUAUAUGGUUGUUUCAGUUCACAAUAAAGAGAAUUAAAGUAAACGUCAAAAGCUAUCUGCAGAAAAAAUAAAAAUCUGGCCGAAAAUCCCUCCGUGCUAUGGGCGGGCCUCCUUUCCGCCAUGCUUACCUGGAGAAGACAGUCUUGGAAAUGACACAGCAGGUGUCUGAGGCUCUUCCCGGGGACACUGCGAUUUUCAAAGGCCUCGCUGCAGAGGGAUUGGCCGCGUGUCAUCAGACUUUGAGCUGUGGUGUGCGUGAAAUAACUUCAGCUACUUAUUUCCUUUUGGAACUGUGCCUAUCCCACCAGAGGGGUGCUCCUUUGUCCCCCAGCCUGCAACUGCGAGGGAGGUGGAAAUCUGUGCUUCUGAUACCUGGGUCCUGGGGCCCACGGCACAGCAGGAGGACAUCACGACAGUUGUGGGCAUGGGGGAGUCAGAGUGUGGUGGUCCUGCCUUGACAGUGGGCCUUGGGGGGCAGAGUGACUGGCUCAGGGGCACAGAACGAGAUAACAGGUUUGCACCUCGAACCCAGGCCAGACGCAUCGCCCCGUGCUCCUCGGGGCGGGGGGGGAAAGCGUCUCUCCCGGUUCUGUUCUCUUGGAGCUUUUCCUCUAGUUUUCAUUCAUCAGUCAGGGAUUUCCAUCAGCUGGAACAGAAACCGACGGCACAGGGCGUGGCUUUCAUUUUCUCUCCUCUAACAGCGCAUCUCCAGGAUUGCUCCAAGGCACAAUCUCUCUGAAUAUCCUCCUGAGUAUGCUCCAUGUGGCUGAAAAGGCUCACCUGCCUGUGUCUUCAGAGCUCUUCAGGAAGCAGCGCUGAGGCAUCCUCUGCCUUGCUCCCCGUCCUUCCCUGCCUCCCUUCACCUUUUCCCUCGCCAUCAUUGUGCUGAGGUUGCCCUUUCCGAAUGAAGCACCAGCUUCAGGCUGUUUCCUAGGCAACUCUGGCUUUCUGGUUUUGUUUUUACUUAUUUAU